UACGUAGGUGGCAAGCGUUAUCCGGAAUUAUUGGGCGUAAAGCGCGCGUAGGCGGUUUCUUGAGUCUGAUGUGAAAGCCCACGGCUCAACCGUGGAGGGUCAUUGGAAACUGGGAGACUUGAGUGCAGAAGAGGAAAGUGGAAUUCCAUGUGUAGCGGUGAAAUGCGCAGAUAUAUGGAGGAACACCAGUGGCGAAGGCGACUUUCUGGUCUGUAACUGACGCUGAUGUGCGAAAGCGUGGGGAGCAAACAGG
rnacentral:rRNA from 1 species